GAGUGGGAACUCUCCUUCACUCCCGUCACCCCAGUGCUCUCCAUGGUGUAACUGGAUGAACUGGCUGGCCAUGCUGGUGUCACCUUCCUCGAAGUUUCAUUCCCACCAUAUUCAAAGAGGAAAUCAUUUCCAAAGACAGAAGGCCUCUUCUUUUGUCAAGAGCACUGGGUAGCUAGAAAUUCCAAGUAAGUUCUUGGGGUCCAUUUGGAGACCCUAAUAGAGUCAAGUCUAAACAGCAACAAUAACA
rnacentral:snRNA from 1 species